rnacentral:misc_RNA from 1 species
UCUCCGUAGGUGAACCUGCGGAGGGAUCACUACAGGCUUGCAAAAGCUCUGAAACCACUGUUUAUCUACCUGAAUCUGCUUCGGCGGGCGGCCCCAGGGCGGGGCCGUAGCCGCAAGGCGCCCGCCGAAGACCCCUAAACUCUGUCGCCUUGAGAAUCUCUGAGUAUCAUAUUAAACAGAAAACAACUUUCAACAACGGAUCUCUUGGCUCUG